rnacentral:lncRNA from 1 species
GCUGAGGAAAAGGACAGUGGGCCUCACAGAAGCCAUAACCAAGUGGAAGGAUCAAGGCUGCAGUCCACAGGGGUGCCGGUAGGGCAGGCAGGCCUAGGGCAGUGGGGGCCCAUUGACCCCUGGGUGGUAGAAGGCACAGUUGUUCUCAUAGCAGCAGUUGCCCUUCAUUAUGAAGUGUGGGCAGACAGGGCGAUUUGACAUGUCUCCUACAUGACUGUGACCUCCAUCAUGCCCUUGGUUGCCGCCUCCCCCAUGGCCAUCAUGACCACGGUGUUCAUGAGGUGGUGGCCCUCGAUGGUCAUGGCCUCGAUGGCUAGGGACAUCAUGUGGCCGGUGGCCAUGGGAUCCUCCGUGUCCAGGGCCUUCAUGGGAACGAUGUCCACCACUUCCACCCAUGUUCCCUCCAGGGCCCACAUGGGAACGAUGUCCACCACUUCCCCAUGUUCCCUCCAGGGCCUUAAUGGGGCCGGUGCCCACCACCUGCAACCAUGCCUCCUCCUCCGGAACGACCUCCUCUGGCUCCUCGGAACGGAGGUGGUGGCAGUGGCUCAUUUCCUCCUCGACACCCUAGGCCUCUGUGGUAUGGUCCAGGGCCAGGUCCUGGACCCCCACGCAUUGGCCACCUCGCACGGGAUCACCUGGGCCAUCCCAGAAUGGAUCACCUCCCCGAGAAGAUGAUGGGGGACCUAAGAGACAUGGACCCACUGGUCCACUAGGGCCUCCAUGGGGACCUGGCAUGGGCCCUGCAGGACCAGUCCCCCUCUCUUUUAGCUUGAAGGUUGUAUGUACUUUUGCUCUCUAUUAAGGCUGGGGUUGUGCUCUCUCGCUCUCUCCCUUUCUCACACUCUCACACUCACACACUCAUUCUGUGUGUUCUUUUUCUUCUUCCACACACACUUCACACACACUCUUCAUACUCUUUCACACAUUCCAAUUCUCUCCUUACACACUCUCUUCACUCUACUCUCUCACACUCUCUCCACGCAUUCUCCACACACUCUCCACUCACCUCACAUUCAUCUCAUGCACACCUUACUCUCUCUCCACUCGUUCUCUCACCUUUUUCUUGCCCAAGUCUUUUUUUGUUUCUCCAAAAGCAGAUAGAAAAAAAGACAUUGUAUAAUCAUUGCCAAAUCAAAUUCAAAAGAAUGACCGCAUCCCACAAAGAAUCAAGAAUUACAAUUGUUCCCCAAAGUUUCAAGCUUCCUCUAUUCCCAGA